CUGUGCUGGGUGUGGCCGCGGCUGCCUCUGAACCUCUCGCUGAGCUCCCUAGAUUCGGAGUCGCUGCCAGGAAAGCGCCCAGCUUUACUCCAGCUGGCGAUUGCGUCAAACAGCGUCAAUCCAAGAAGCACUGCGCUCUGGAGUCGACCUCAGCUUCUGGGUAGCCGGGUUCCUGUCGUUCAGCAGGCGCUUGGUGGGCGGAUGGUGGCGAAAUGAAGGCUACAGAGGCCGCCACCGCGGGAUGUGGACUCCGGGCCGCUGAAGGCUUCUACGGCCUCCUCCAUCGAUACCCUCCGUCGACGAGGGACCCAUCCUGCUGGUAGUCUCAGGUUUCGAUGCCAGUGAAAUGUCACCUCAGCUCCACUGUCCCCGGUGUCAGGCAAGCCCUAGAUGGAGUUUCACUCUUUUUGCCCAGUCUGAAGUGCAAUGGCAUGAUCUCGGCUCACCACAACCUCCGCCUCCUGGAUUCAAGUGAUUCUCCUACCUCAGCCUCCCAAGUAGCUGGGAUUACAGGCAUAUGCCACCACACCUGGCUAAUUUUGUAUUUUUAGUAGAGAUGGGUUUUCUUCAUGUUGGUCAGGCUGGUCCCAAACUCCCAGCCUCAGAUGAUCCUCCCACCUUGGCCUCCCAAAGUGCUGGGAUUAUAGGUGUGAGCCACUGCUCCCGGCCUCUAAUCUUUAUACUUUUUAUUCAUCUUUCCUGCUGAAUUGCUCUGGAUAGGAUUUCCAGUACAAUGUUAAAUAGAAAUAGUUAAAGCAGGCAUGCUUAUCUUAUUCCAUAUCUUAGAGAGAACACAUCUAAUUAAUCACCAUUAGAUACAAUAUUAUAGCUUCCUCAUAGAUCCCUGCUAUGAUUUUAAUGUCUCCUCCAAAACUCAUGGUGAACGAGACUCACCUCCAAAAAAAAACAACAACCAAAAGACUCCACCUCCCAACAUGCUUACACUUGCAAGUGGCUCACACCUGUAAUCUGUAAUCCCAGGGCUUUGUUUGGGAGGCCAAAGUGGGUAGAUCAGGAAGUCAGGAGUUCGAGACCAGCCUGGCCAAUAUGGCAAAACUCUGUCUAUACUAAAAAUACAAAAAUUAGGCGGGCAUGGUGGCGCACUCCUGUAAUCCCAGCUACUCAGGAGGCUGAGGCAGGGGAAUUGCUUGAACCCAGGAGUCAGAGGUUGCAGUGAGCUGAGAAUGCCUCAGGGCAUUGCAGCCUGGGCAUUGCAGCGAGACAAGUCUCCUUCUGUUGCCCGGGCAGGACUGGAGUGGCAGGGUGAUCUCAGCUCACUGCAACCUCCACCUCCCAGGGUUCAAGCAAUUCUCCCACCUCAGCCUCCCAAGUAGCUGGGACUUCAGGCAUGCACCCUCAUACUUGGCUACUUUUUGUAUUUUUAAUAGAGAUGGGGUUUCACCAUGUUGGUCAGGCUGGUCUCAAACUCCUGACCUCAUGAUCGGCCCGCCUCGGCCUCCCAAAGUGCUGGGAUUACAGGCAUGAGCCACAGAGCCCAGCCUGAUAUAUUAUCAUUUUUACAUAUUGCUAGGUUUGACUUGCUAGUACUUUCUUAAGCAUAUUUUUGUGUCUGUAUUCAUGAGAGGUACUGAUUUAUCAUUGUCUUUUUCUGUAAUAUCUAAGUUUGGGUGUAAUUAUUAUUCUGGCUUUAUAAAAUAAACUCAGUUUUCCUGAGAGUCAUACAA